rnacentral:rRNA from 1 species
UACGUAGGGUGCAAGCGUUAAUCGGAAUUACUGGGCGUAAAGCGUGCGCAGGCGGUUUUGUAAGACUGUCGUGAAAUCCCCGGGCUCAACCUGGGAAUGGCGAUGGUGACUGCAAGGCUAGAGUUUGGCAGAGGGGGGGUAGAAUUCCACGUGUAGCAGUGAAAUGCGUAGAUAUGUGGAGGAACACCGAUGGCGAAGGCAGCCCCCUGGGUCAAAAACUGACGCUCAUGCACGAAAGCGUGGGGAGCAAACAGG